rnacentral:tRNA from 1 species
GGGAAGGUGGCUCAGUGGUAGAGUACUUGCCUUGCAUGCAUGAGGCCCUGGGUUUGAUUCCUCUGUACCA